GAGCCCGUGGCUCAAUGGUUAGAGCGUUGGACUCAAAUACCAAAGGUCGCGGUUUCG
rnacentral:tRNA from 1 species